UACGGGGGGGGCAAGCGUUGUUCGGAAUUACUGGGCGUAAAGGGCUCGUAGGCGGCCAACUAAGUCAGAUGUGAAAUCCCCAGGCUCAACCUGGGAACUGCAUCUGAUACUGGCAGGCUUGAAUCCGGGAGAGGGAUGUGGAAUUUCAGGUGUAGCGGUGAAAUGCGUAGAUAUCUGGAGGAACACCGGUGGCGAAGGCGGCAUCCUGGACCGGUACUGACGCUGAGGCGCGAAAGCCAGGGGAGCAAACGGG
rnacentral:rRNA from 1 species